ACUUUGAGAAAAUCCGAAAAGGGGUUCUUCAUUUGAGUAAAGUUUUUAUUGUUAUAUUCGCUCAUUUAAAGGAGCUGUUAUUGUAUUAAUCUGUGCUCAAAAUUUUUCUAACUCUUUGUGAGUUUUUGUUCUUGUUUUUGGAGGAUUUCCAAAACAAGGAAAGGUUGAUCCGAACCUGAAAUCGGAGUGUUUUGGGUUUACUUGUACCCGAGAAACAAGUGAUCUAGCUUGGGAUAGCUAGUGUCGGAGUUUCCGAUAUUUUGUAUUCGGGUUGAAUACAAAGUAUAGUGGAUUGAAAUUCCCAAGUAGGAUCUUGGGGAGUGGAUGUAGGUGCAAGGUUGGCACCGAACCACUAUAAAUCCUUGUG
rnacentral:lncRNA from 1 species